UGCAGAAUCCCGUGAACCAUCGAGUCUUUGAACGCAAGUUGCGCCCUAAGCCAUUUGGCCGAGGGCACGUCUGCCUGGGCGUCAAUCAUCUAUUCGUCACCCAACCUCCGCUCCCCGAAAAGGAGCUUUGGUCCCGGGUACGGAAGUUGGCCUCCCGUGCUCUCGAAGCGCGGCUGGCCUAAAACUGAGCAUCGGACUGAUGAUCUCCGAGGCACGCGGUGGUUGUUCAUUCCUACCUCGUGACGUUGCCAAGGAGCGUCUCCCGUACGAAGCUCCACGACCCUAGAUUUACUAUCGAUGCGACCCCAGGUCAGGCGGGGCCACCCGCUGAAUUUAAGCAUAUCAAUAAGCGGAGGAAAAGAAACUAACAAGGAUUCCCCUAGUAGCGGCGAGCGAACCGGGAAAUGCCCACCAUGAAAAUCGAGCUCCUUUGGUGCUCGA
rnacentral:rRNA from 1 species